AAGCUACCAUCUGAGGGAUUAUGACUGAACGCCUCUAAGUCAGAAUCCCGCCUGGAAAGCGACGAUGCAUUCGUGCCUCGGCCUCGAGAGGCGUAGCUAGACGGCCGUGUGGCCGUGGAAAGAGCCCGAUUCCGACCCGAGAGGCCGCGGCAAGAGGCGGCCUCGAAGUCGGUGGAUCCUCCUGCUCGAAAGGCGGGGUGCUAAACCAUUCGCAGACGACCUAGUUGAAGAUCGGGGUGUCGUGAUCACUAGAGCAGUACAUCUCACUGCGAUUUGUUGAGAGUAAGCCUCAAGAUCUGUCGGUUUGU
rnacentral:ncRNA from 1 species